rnacentral:rRNA from 1 species
UACGUAGGGGGCUAGCGUUAUCCGGAAUUACUGGGCGUAAAGGGUGCGUAGGUGGUUUCUUAAGUCAGAGGUGAAAGGCUACGGCUCAACCGUAGUAAGCCUUUGAAACUGGGGAACUUGAGUGCAGGAGAGGAGAGUGGAAUUCCUAGCGUAGCGGUGAAAUGCGUAGAUAUUAGGAGGAACACCAGUUGCGAAGGCGGCUCUCUGGACUGUAACUGACACUGAGGCACGAAAGCGUGGGGAGCAAACAGG